rnacentral:rRNA from 1 species
AAGCGUGCGCAGGCGGUUAUGUAAGACAGAUGUGAAAUCCCCGGGCUCAACCUGGGAACUGCAUUUGUGACUGCAUGGCUAGAGUACGGUAGAGGGGGAUGGAAUUCCGCGUGUAGCAGUGAAAUGCGUAGAUAUGCGGAGGAACACCGAUGGCGAAGGCAAUCCCCUGGACCUGUACUGACGCUCAUGCACGAAAGCGGUGGGGAGCAAACAGGAUUAGAUACCCGGGU